rnacentral:lncRNA from 1 species
AGCAAAUGCCGGAUCCUCUGCUUGGGAAGACAUAGUCCUCCUUUCCGAAGGACCCCAUUCAGCAAAAAGGAAUAUAAAUCUUUUAAAUACACUAUAGCAUCAGGCAGAGUCAAGAGGAGUCUCUACCUGCUUCUAACCAGAUUGCCAGAAAUCUUCCUUCUCUGGAUGGAGACUAAGAGGUACUUACUUCUUGCCCUGGGAAGGGAAGAUCUUGGCUUUCUGCUCAGAUCACUUCCUUCAAGAAGAGUUCCUCAGGUUUCUUUCAUUGGACAAAUAUCAAUUUAGCACCUACUAUGUGCCUGGUACUGUGCUAGGCUAUCUGGGUAUACCAUGGUGAACAAAAUGGAUGUUUUUCCUGAGCUUGAAAAUGAUGAUUCUUCCUAUGGAAAUGAGGUUGGAAUCUAGGGGCUUGGAUACCCCCCACAUCAGAAGCUCAAAUCCUUCAUAAAUGGCAAAAAAGAGGAAUCAAAGAUAGCUAGGUUUUGAGGAUUACCUAAAACCCAGACAGAUGACUCGCUGUUUAAAAAGUAAACUUUUAGAACAGUUUUAGACUUACAGAAAAGUUAUGCAGAUAGUACAGAAUUGCCAUGUACCCCAACCCAGUUUCUCCUAUUGUUGACAACUGUCAUUACUGCGGAACAUUUUCCACAACACUGGUAUGUUAUUGUUAACUAAA